rnacentral:rRNA from 1 species
AUUGAACGCUGGCGGCAGGCCUAACACAUGCAAGUCGAACGAGUGGCGGACGGGUGAGUAAUGUCUGGGAAACUGCCUGAUGGAGGGGGAUAACUACUGGAAACGGUAGCUAAUACCGCAUACCAUCGGAUGUGCCCAGAUGGGAUUAGCUAGUAGGUGGGGGAAAGGCUCACCUAGGCGACGAUCCCUAGCUGGUCUGAGAGGAUGACCAGCCACACUGGAACGUAGAAACGGUCCAGAUUCCUACGGGAGGAUGCAGUGGGGAAUAUUGCACAAGGGGGGAAAGCCUGAUGCAGCAAUGCCGCGUGGAUGAAGAAGGCCUGCGGGUUGUAAAGUACUUUCAGCGGGGAGGCGUUACCGGCAGAAGAAGCACCGGCUAACUCCGUGCCAGCCGCCGCGGUAACAC